rnacentral:rRNA from 1 species
UACGAAGGGGACUAGCGUUGUUCGGAAUCACUGGGCGUAAAGCGCACGUAGGCGGAUUCGUAAGUCAGGGGUGAAAUCCCGGGGCUCAACCUCGGAACUGCCUUUGAUACUGCGGGUCUUGAGUCCGAUAGAGGUGGUGGAAUUCCUAGUGUAGAGGUGAAAUUCGUAGAUAUUAGGAAGAACACCGUGGCGAAGGCGGCCCACUGGAUCGGUACUGACGCUGAGGUGCGAAAGCGUGGGAGCAAACAGG